CGAACGCUUUGUGGUUCAACUGAUUUGAAGAGCUUGCUCAGAUAUGACGAUGGACAUUGCAAAGAGUGGCGAACGGGUGAGUAACACGUGGGAAACCUACCUCUUAGCAGGGGAUAACAUUUGGAAACAGAUGCUAAUACCGUAUAACAAUGACAACCGCAUGGUUGUUAUUUAAAAGAUGGUUCUGCUAUCACUAAGAGAUGGUCCCGCGGUGCAUUAGCUAGUUGGUAAGGUAAUGGCUUACCAAGGCGAUGAUGCAUAGCCGAGUUGAGAGACUGAUCGGCCACAAUGGGACUGAGACACGGCCCAUACUCCUACGGGAGGCAGCAGUAGGGAAUCUUCCACAAUGGGCGAAAGCCUGAUGGAGCAACGCCGCGUGUGUGAUGAAGGGUUUCGGCUCGUAAAACACUGUUGUAAGAGAAGAAUGACAUUGAGAGUAACUGUUCAAUGUGUGACGGUAUCUUACCAGAAAGGAACGGCUAAAUACGUGCCAGCAGCCGCGGUAAUACGUAUGUUCCAAGCGUUAUCCGGAUUUAUUGGGCGUAAAGCGAGCGCAGACGGUUAUUUAAGUCUGAAGUGAAAGCCCUCAGCUCAACUGAGGAAUUGCUUUGGAAACUGGAUGACUUGAGUGCAGUAGAGGAAAGUGGAACUCCAUGUGUAGCGGUGAAAUGCGUAGAUAUAUGGAAGAACACCAGUGGCGAAGGCGGCUUUCUGGACUGUAACUGACGUUGAGGCUCGAAAGUGUGGGUAGCAAACAGGAUUAGAUACCCUGGUAGUCCACACCGUAAACGAUGAGUGCUAGGUGUUUGAGGGUUUCCGCCCUUAAGUGCCGCAGCUAACGCAUUAAGCACUCCGCCUGGGGAGUACGACCGCAAGGUUGAAACUCAAAGGAAUUGACGGGGACCCGCACAAGCGGUGGAGCAUGUGGUUUAAUUCGAAGCAACGCGAAGAACCUUACCAGGUCUUGACAUCCCUUGACAACUCCAGAGAUGGAGCGUUCCCUUCGGGGACAAGGUGACAGGUGGUGCAUGGUUGUCGUCAGCUCGUGUCGUGAGAUGUUGGGUUAAGUCCCGCAACGAGCGCAACCCUUAUUACUAGUUGCCAGCAUUCAGUUGGGCACUCUAGUGAGACUGCCGGUGACAAACCGGAGGAAGGUGGGGAUGACGUCAAAUCAUCAUGCCCCUUAUGACCUGGGCUACACACGUGCUACAAUGGCGUAUACAACGAGUUGCCAACCCGCGAGGGUGAGCUAAUCUCUUAAAGUACGUCUCAGUUCGGAUUGUAGGCUGCAACUCGCCUACAUGAAGUCGGAAUCGCUAGUAAUCGCGGAUCAGCACGCCGCGGUGAAUACGUUCCCGGGUCUUGUACACACCGCCCGUCACACCAUGAGAGUUUGUAACACCCCAAAGCCGGUGGGGUAACCUUC
rnacentral:rRNA from 1 species